CCUACGGGAGGCAGCAGUGAGGAAUAUUGGUCAAUGGGCGAGAGCCUGAACCAGCCAAGUCGCGUGAAGGAUGACGGCCCUACGGGUUUUAAACUUCUUUUGUCAGGGAGCAAUUUGGUCCACGCGUGGGCUUAGCGAGAGUACCUGAAGAAAAAGCAUCGGCUAACUCCGGGCCAGCAGCCGCGGUAAUACGUAGGAUGCGAGCGUUAUCCGGCUUUAUUGGGUUUAAAGGGUGCGUGGGCGGAAUAUCAAGUCAGCGGUAAAAAUUCGGGGCUAAACCCCGCCGUGCCGUUGAAACUGGUGUUCUUGAGUGUGGGAGAGGUAUGCGGAAUGCGUGGUGUAGCGGUGAAAUGCAUAGAUAUCACGCAGAACUCCGAUUGCGAAGGCAGCAUACGGGCGCCCAACUGACGCUGAAGCACGAAAGCGUGGGUAUCGAACAGGAUUAGAUACCCUAGUAGUC
rnacentral:rRNA from 1 species